UGCUUCGAUGGAACGUAAGCGCAGAGUU
rnacentral:sRNA from 1 species